rnacentral:rRNA from 1 species
AUUGAACGCUGGCGGCAUGCCUUACACAUGCAAGUCGAACGGCAGCACGGGUGCUUGCACCUGGUGGCGAGUGGCGAACGGGUGAGUAAUACAUCGGAACAUGUCCUGUAGUGGGGGAUAGCCCGGCGAAAGCCGGAUUAAUACCGCAUACGAUCCACGGAUGAAAGCGGGGGACCUUCGGGCCUCGCGCUAUAGGGUUGGCCGAUGGCUGAUUAGCUAGUUGGUGGGGUAAAGGCCUACCAAGGAGACGAUCAGUAGCUGGUCUGAGAGGACGACCAGCCACACUGGGACUGAGACACGGCCCAGACUCCUACGGGAGGCAGCAGUGGGGAAUUUUGGACAAUGGGCGAAAGCCUGAUCCAGCAAUGCCGCGUGUGUGAAGAAGGCCUUCGGGUUGUAAAGCACUUUUGUCCGGAAAGAAAUCCUUGACUCUAAUACAGUCGGGGGAUGACGGUACCGGAAGAAUAAGCACCGGCUAACUACGUG